UACGAAGGGUGCAAGCGUUACUCGGAAUUACUGGGCGUAAAGCGUGCGUAGGUGGUUCGUUAAGUCUGAUGUGAAAGCCCUGGGCUCAACCUGGGAACUGCAUUGGAUACUGGCGAUCUGGAGUGCGGUAGAGGGUGGCGGAAUUCCCGGUGUAGCAGUGAAAUGCGUAGAUAUCGGGAGGAACAUCCGUGGCGAAGGCGGCCACCUGGACCAGCACUGACACUGGGGCACGAAAGCGUGGGGAGCAAACAGG
rnacentral:rRNA from 1 species